rnacentral:lncRNA from 1 species
AUACAUGUAUAAGUUGAUAUAUUUUGCCUGUAUUUUAUCAGAUUAUUUUAUUAGAUGUAUUUUGCCUGUUAUAUGUUUGAUUUUCCUUAUAGAUGGACAUCAACAGUAAUUGUAUUGUCUGUGAUACUUUUUGUAUUAGUUGUAUCAUUGUGUGGCUGUUGUAAAAGAUCAAGGUGUCUCCUGGCAACGUAAGUAUAAGGUGUAUAUGAUACUAAAGUAAAAAAGUUUAAUUUGCAUAAAAUAUCUUAUAUCCUGAUUCUACAAAAUUCUACAUCUAUCUAUGCAGAUUGAUUUCUUGGUGUUAAUGCAAAUAUCAGCACUAUUGGCUAGUUCAUGGCGGUCAGUUUUUUUGGUCGGAAAAAGCCAGAGUGUCAAGAGAGAACCACAACCUAGAGUAGGAAAACUGACAAUCCUAGUUAAUUAAGAUUGGAGUUGAAUGUACCUGCCACAUGCUGGUUUCAAUUUAAAGCACCAGAGUUGACUGGCUAGUACAAGGAUCUGGAUUUUUUUUCACACAAUUUGGUCAUUUUGAAUUUGAGAUAACCUAAAAGUUGCCUGUUGGCAGGUUGGUGCCUUUUUUCCCCAAUAUUUUUUUGAAAUCACACUAGAAAAAAAAAGAAAAGAAAAAAAAAAUUAUGAAAGCUUAUUUUGAUAUAUCCAAAAAGAUUUAAAAUAUUUAAACUUGAAAUUAGGCCAUUAAGAUUUAUUUAUUUAUUUUUUCUAUGUGUAUAUUUUCAGCUCUAUUUCCUUUGGUUUCCUUAUCCUGUUCCUCUCCUGGAUAAUGAAUGGAGUAUACCUAGGAGGGAGUGUGGUAAGUGAUGGUACCAGUCUUGCUUUGAAAUAUGACAACCAAAAACCAGAAAAAUUUUGAAGAAUAUUGCUUUUGUCUUGGCAAAAGAAUCCAGUUUCUGUAGAAUUUGAUUCAGGCCUAUUCCUGGAAAAAGUUCAAUGACGGCAGGAGGUUGGACCGUGCGUUAUAGCAUAAUUAACCAGAAUGUGUCCAUAGUACACACAUGCCCCACUCACACUACCAUUUUCUAUGUUCAGUGGACCAUCAAAUUUGGGUAAAAACUGUAAUUUGGCAUUAAAAUUAGAAAGAUCAUAUCAUAGGGAACAUGUGUACCAAGUUUCAAGUUUAUUAGGCUUAAACUUCAUCAAAAACUACCUUGACCAAAAACUUUAACCAGAAGCAGUACCCCGGUACUAUAUUCAUGUAUAAAGAAAAUUGGGAUUUUUGACACUGUCCUCUCUAUAUUCUAGAUCAUUAAUAAACUAUUUGAUUUAUUUACAGACAAAUGCAGAUUUAUGUGUGGAUCCAGAAAGUUUUAUAGAGAAUGUUGUCAAUGAGAGAAUAGAGAAAGGUAAUUACUGAGAUUAUACAAUGUAGUACAGUUGUGUGAUGGAUUGAACACCAUUUUCUACACAUUUGUAUAAACUCUUAUGUUAAAAAAAAUAAGAUGAUGUCAGAUGUUUGCCAAUUAGACAACUAUCCACCAAAGUUCAAAAUAGACAAAUGUAUUAAUUAAAACUAACAGAAGACAGCUCUCUCUAAAGGAAAAAAUCUAUAACUGUAAAAUAUAAGGGCAUACACUACAAACAAGCACAGGACAAUUUAUACAGCCUCCACUCAACAAGAAAACAAACCCUGCAACCAAUAUAAAAAUAAUGAGAUUUUGUAAUUAACUCAAUAAGACAAGUGAAUAGAAAUAAGUUUGUUCUUUUUUCAAUCCUCAAAUAUUACUUUCUUGACCAUGAUCUUCAAAUAUAUCUAUGGUCUAUUGCAUGUUUAUAAAAUAUUCAUUUGAACUUUAUCAUAAAAUUGUUUUAUGAAAGAGGACAAUAACCAACUUCCCUUACUAUUGUUUUUGUAGACAUAAUCAAAACCUACAUUAAAUGUAAGGAUGACGGAGCAGCAGGUCAAUACUCUCAGGUAAGCUGGAAAAAUUCUCUUUGAUAAUUAUUACUGUAAAUUCAGAAGUUAUUGCAAUGUUUUAUUAUUGCGAAAAAUGCGACAGGUUUUAAUCACAAUAGUUUAAACUUGCAUUUUGAAAUUUUUUAUAUGAAUUAAACAGGAUUUUUCUCAAAAUUGUAAAAAAUAAGAUUACAAAAUAGCAACAAUAAACACAUGCUAUAAUUUUUGAAUUUAAAGUUUCUUACUGCCUUACCUUUCUUCCAAAAUAUAUAGAAAUGAUAAGUAGCACUUAGUCUGAAAUGUUAUGAGGCUUUUUUGAUUUUUUGCUUUCUUUUUCUUACAAUGUCUUUUUUUUGCGAGAAUAUCUUCCUCUAAAUUUUGAGAUCUAAUUUUGCCAUGAUAUCUUCACUGACAGAUGAUGAAUUAUUUUUUGUUGCACAAAAUGAAGUUAAGGAAAUGUUAGCAUAAAAAAAUAAGUAAAAUUUUAUUUGUUGUACCAUGCAGUCAUUAUAUUGUAGUGUAAUUUUAAGUAUAUAAACUUUCACAUUUCAGGACAUUUCAGAAGCUUUAAGUGCUGUAACUUUAGCGAAUGACACAUUAUCAAAGAUUUAUAAUGUCAGCAUUAGUUUAAGUAUAAUAAAUAAAGUAAGUUGAAGUUCUGUAUGUUAACUAUGUUAUAUCGUAAUGUAUACUAAUGCACUACAUUGAAGCUAUAUAUUACACAUAUGCACUACAUUGAAGCUAUAUAUUACACAUAUGCACAGCAUAAAUGCCUUGGCGGUAUGAAUGUUGGCAUUUAACAGUCACAAUUCAUAAAAAAUAAGUUUGCUUGUAAUGGUUAAUGUUGAUUGAUUAUAUUUUGCUGUCAAGUUUUUGUUUAGGAUGUUGUGAAGGAUAGCAGGUUUUCAAAUUUUUUUAUGCAACUGCUUCAAAAUCAAAAGUGUUUUUAUUUCUAAUGAAAUAAUUCAUUCAAAACAAUGUUAACAAAUACAGUGUGAAGAGAAUAACUAUACAGUAUCUUUAAACAUCAGUUUUAUUUGGUUUUUGCUCAGAAAAAAAUUAAAAUCUAAGCAUUCUACAUGCUUCUAAUAAUAAUCACCACACAACAAUCCAAUUCAAAAUUAUUUACAAAGCAAAUCCCAUUCUUCUGAAGUUGUUUCAUAACUUGCUUAGGUCUUUUAAUUUUACACACUUAUAACUGCAAUUUUAGAGGACCCUUCAUUUCUUUUAAAAACUCUACUAAUUUACGUAGAUCACAUUAGUAUGCAAUUUUAAAGAAAUAACCCAUUAUUAACUGAUAAUCUAUGAAAAAAUUUAGUACAUGUUUUAAUAGGUAAUUUGAGUUAUUAAAGGGGUUUCUUUGCUGUGGCAUCUAACAUGUCUAGGUCGUUUAUCCACUGUGUUACUUGUCGGUCAGAACUGAGGUUGAGUUGGCUAGAAUUGUCAGUUCCUUGCUGAAGGUUGUGGUUAUUUCCAGGCACUCAAGCUUCCUCCAACAAUUAAAACUGCCAUCACAAUAUAGCCAAUAGUCGCUGGGAAAAAAAAUGCUUUACAAAUUGUUAUACGAAUUUAACUCAAAAUGAUGAAAAUAUUACUAAAGGUAUGUUUCACAAGUGAUUGAAAGGGAAAUUCUUGUCCUUUGGUCUUUUAUCUGCUUCAUGAUCUUUUAUUUCUUUUUAAAGUAAAAUGUAAAUGCAAAAUGUUUUUAUUUUAAAAUGCUUUUAUAUUUGUAGGUAAAAGGGCCUAUAAUAGCUGUCAGAACACAACUGAACUAUGGUUUUGGAAAUCUGACAGCUCUGAGUAAUGUGUUCCAGUGUCAGAGAACACAUGAUAAUUACUUAGCCAUUAAGGAAGCAGUAUGUCAUACAGUUAUGUAAGUAAAAUGAUAUAAUAACUAAUCAAAGAAUUAAAGGAGCUGUGUCAGAAAGAAAUGGACCCUAUGCAUAUCUGUUUACCUAGUUUUAAGUUGAAAAUAUCUCUAUACAAGGUCUUUAACUGUUUGAAGAGUUGAUAUAAGAACACUACAAAACAGACCGAAAUAUGACUUUUAUUUCGUAUUUGAAUGUUCCGUAAUGGGUCUACGUGAACUUGAAUAAGGUCGAUAUUUAUCCAACACAGCUCAAAUGUUGAAAAGUGAUUAAGGAACUCAUUGAUUUGAGCAUUGACAAUGUUAUUUAAUAGUUAGGUCAUGAUUUGAAUUUGUAUUACAAUAACUUUAAACAAAAACAAAAAAGAAAGUGCAAGAAACUAUAUUGAUAAUGAGAUAGCUAUCCAACAGUAAAAAUAAUAGAAAAGAUAUCCAUAGGUCAACUAACCAUCUUCAACAACAAACCAGUUAUACCAUAUGUCAAGCUCUCAUUCAAAGGCUAAAAAAAUAAAACAAAUAAGUUUAUCAGAGACUACAAAAUUUUGAACAGACAAAAACACUAAAAUGAAUUAAAGUAGUAAUUAAACUUAUGCAAACCAAUUAUCACUAUUAUACAAAACAAAAUUUAGUCUCCAAUAUACUUCUCAUUGUAAUAAAAGAAGUAAUGCUGUGGAUUCAUUAUUAUUCGUUGGAUACCAAUUUUCAUGGAUUUCGUGGUAACCUGAAACCACGAAUUUAAAUGUCCAACGAAUUACAAAUUGUGUAUAGGUGUUUAUGCAGACUUUUGAAAAACAACAAAAUCAAAUAUCAACAAAAUGCAAGUUUUCUUCAAACCAAGAAAAUUGGUACCCACGAAAAUAAAUGAAUCCACAGUAAACUGAUAUGGAGAUAUUCAUUUAUCUUUUGCAGAUUCAACAUGUCCCUGAUAUUGGCAGCAUUCCUUUUGUUAUCUUUGUUAUUAUCAUUAACACAGUGUAUUCUUCCUAAAAUGUGGCAUCUCAGUGGCAAAAGGUAAGUUAUAUAAUGUGGCAUCUCAGUGGCAAAAGGUAAGUUAUAUAAUGUGGCAUCUCAGUGCCAACAGUUUAGAUGAAAUUUUCACCUCAAUUAAAAAAAGUCAGAUUCAGAUUCAAAUGUGGCAUCACAGAGGCUAAAGAUCAGGUAAUAAUGUGGCAUCUCAGAGCCUAAAGAUCAGGUAAUAAAAUGGCAUCACAGAGGCUAAAGAUCAGGUAAUAAAAUGGCAUCACAGAGGCUAAAGAUCAAAUAUUAAUGUGAAUCUCAGUGAAAAAGGUUGGGCAGAAUUUUCAUCUCAGUAACAAAAGGUCAGAUUUAGAUGUUGUAUCUCAUUGGGAAUUGUUGCUUCUCAGUGAUAAAAAGUAUGGGAUCUCACUCUCAGUGAUAAAAAGUAUGGGAUCUCACUCUCAGUGAUAAAAAGUAUGGGAUCUCGCUCUCAGUGAUCAAAGGCAAGAUGAAAUUGUGGCAUUUAAUCAUUAAAAUGCCUGUGCUUAAUGAUACAUAGCUUGUGCUGUUUCUCAAUGGUAGAAUGAAUAAGGAAAUUGUAAAUUGAUCAGGUAACAAAAUAUCUACUUUUAACACCAUGCUGUUUUUAUGUGAUUCUGACAAGACAAGAAUUGAAAAGAAAACUUUGUUAUAAACAACUGCACAUUUUUGUAAUUUUUUCUAUAGAAUGAAAGUAAGCUCUGUGAAACAAGUUAUUUUUUAAUUUCCAGUAUUUUGCUAUAAACAGUGUGAUCUGUAGAAAAUUUCACAAAUACAAAGACUAAAACAACUGUUUUUAUGCCCCAUUCAUGGGCAUUAUGUUUUCUGGUCUGUGCAUCCGUUCGUCCAUUCGUUGGUCCAUCUGUCCCGCUUCAAGUUUAAGUUUUUGGUGAAGGUAGUUUUUGAUGAAAUGCGAGUCCAAUUAACUUGAAACUUAGUAAACAUGUCACCUAUGAUAUAAUCUUUCUAAUUUUAAUGCCUGAUUAGAUAUUUAACCCCAUUUUCAUGGUCCAUAGAACAUAGAAAAUGAUAGUGCCAAUGGGGGGGCAUCUUUGUACUAUGGACACAUUAUUGUUUUAAAUUUGUAUGUUUUAAUAGGUUUAGUUUGUGCCUUUUAGAUCUCUUGGUUGACAUGUGAGGUAUUGCCAUCACUUGUAAGGUUUCUAAUUUGUAACUGUCUUCCUUCGAUCUCUUCUUUUCCAACUGAUGAUCAAAGUCGACUUUUAAAACAGAAUAUAAAAAAAAAUUAUACGAAAGUUAAUGAUAUAUUAUGUUUUGUAGAAGAGGAAGUGGCUACAGACCAGUGGAUGAUACAGACCCAUUUGUACCAAGGCCACCUCCAUAUCAGGACUAUGGAGCAGUAUAUGGAAUAGGAUCUCCACUUGGACCUUCAAAGUAAUUUAUUUUUUUCUUUGAAUUAAAAUUAAGAAAAUACAAAAUUUACCUUUUUUAGCAGUAUUCUGUCAAUAUAUUUGACUCAUUGAUUGUACUGGCUAUAAUUUGGCUAUUUGACUGUUCUACCUAUAAUUUGGUUAAUUGACUGUUUUGGUUAUAAUUUGACUAAUUGAGUGUUCUGGCUAUAAUUUGACUAAUUGACUGUUCUGGCUAUAAUUUAACUAAUUGACUGUUUUGGCUAAAUUGACUGUUCUGGCUAUAAUUUAACUAAUUGACUGUUCUGGCUAUAAUUUGACUAAUUGACUGUUCUGGUUUUAAUUUAGCUAAUUGACUGUUUUUGAUAUACUUUGGCUAAAUUGACUGUUAUUUCUUUUGAUAUCUUUUGAUUGGUUAGUGUUUCUUACUUGUUUAAAUUAAAGGAGUUUUUGUUGAUUCACCGAUGUCAAUCAAUUUGAUAGUCUGUCUAUGAAGUUUUGGCCUAUUUUUUACAGAAAAUACAAAAUAUAACUACUAUUCUUCAUAUUUGAUAUCAAGAUUUCUUUUUAAACCAUAGUCAUUGAUUGGUUUCAUCAUACAAUAUUUGUCCCUACACAUUAAGUAAAUGUUAUUAAUCAAUAACUUUGAGUCCACUUCCCAUUAACUUUUUAUAUGCCUACUGUGCAUGAAAUGUGGAUGUGUAUAUACAGUUUUUUUCUGAGCUAAGAAUUGGCAAUUUUAAUGGAAUUAAGUUACUUUAAGAUUCUUAAUAUACAUUUCCUAUUUUCUAUCUCAAUUUGUUUUAGUUCCUCUAGGAUAUAUGUUUUUUUAUUAAUUUUUGUUGGUGUUUAUAAAAUAAAAAUAGAUAAAUACAUGUACUUGUUUGCAUAUCUCAAUGAAGUUUUGUUUGUUUCAGCAGUGAUGCCAUCAAUAUGACAGGAGGACCACCUCUAGACUCACCACCACCUGCUGUAAGUUUAUCUCAAAAUCUAAAUCAGAAAAAUUUGUUAGAAAUUAGUUAAUUUUACCAAUUGUUUUCUACGAUAAAGGUUCAUAGCAUAUUGAGAGACCCUGCCCCCCCUUUUUUUGUGGGAAAAAUUGUGGUUGAUUAGUUGUGGGAUGACUGGAGCAGGACCCUUUUAGGCAGUCAGUGCCCCUUUCCCCUUUUGAAAAAGACCUAGGAAACAAACCCAAUAUCUAUAUAUAAAUGAUGUAUAGAGCUGAAGAUAAUUAUCAGUGUUGUAACUUCUUGAGUUGCAUAUUUGAUCUAUCUAUAUUCUAAUUUGCAAGGAGUUCAUCUCAAUGUAACCAUCAUUCUAAUGAUAUUAAUAAUGAAAUUCAGGAGGAUUCAUAGUAGGACUUAUUUAAUUUAUCUGUGUAACUGGUGUUCUAACUUUAUGUUGGCUAGUGAAUUAUUUAUCACAGAGUGAGAAUUAAUAAGUCCUGUAUUUUCACUCAGUUAAAUACAGAAUUUAUUUCACUAUGAAUAAUAAAGUAUUAUUAAUAUAGCUAUAUUACCUUCAACCGUUCAUUUCACAGAUUAAAUUCGAUUUAAUAAUGAAAUAUCUUUAAUAAUUGAAUUUACGUAUUCAUCAUGUAUUUUUUCAGUACUCUGUACGAGGUUUUGGUGAGAGCAGACAUACCAGAAGUCACAGUACAACUUCAAGUGAAACAUGAUGUACAGAGUUGAUAACUGAGAAACUUGAGAUUAUAAAGACUAAAUAAUUACUGAUCCGCCCACAUAAGUGGUUUUGUAUUAACAUUUAAACUGUGCGUACAGUAAUUAAUGUGUUCUGUAAGAAAGAGGUUUUUAAUGAUCUCAAUAUCACAAAAUGAGAGAUAUAUGAAGGGCUUUCAUAAUGACUUGAUAUGCAUUUGUAUAUACAAUUGUUUGCACUUUUUACAUCUUGUAUCAUAUAAUAAAUUUUUGUUUUUUUUUAACAUUUAUAAAUAUUCAUUAAACAUUUUUUUUAAAAGUAUUUGUUCACUUAUCUCCCUUAUAAGAUUUUUUUGUGUAUAAUUAAUUUCUUACCAUUUCAUAUUUUCCGUAAUAUAUUUAUACAGGGUAUUAAACACACUGAACAAAAUAUAUUAUUUGAAACUUUAUUUAAUGAUUUUGAGUGGCAGUUGAUAUGAAAAUGACAAUAACUGGCUUGAAACAUCAAUAAAAAUUGAUCAAUAAAGAUUCACCAGUUAACAAUAAUUAUCAAACUGAAAUUAGAAAUUUUAUAUGUAAUACUCAAGUUAUUUAUAGAUUCACCAAUAAAUUACAUGUGCCAUCAUACUUUGGUUUGAAAGUAAUUGGUUUUUAUUAAUUUGAUACUUAAUUUUGUUUAUUGUAUACAUAUUUGUUUUUCUUUAUAUGUAAUAUGAGUUAUUUCCAUUUUUGCAAGUUUUUUCCUAGCUUUUACAUCAUUUUUAUACAUUUUCUAAAACAGAUAAUGAAAACAUUUUUGAUUUACUAAAAAGAUAUAAGGUUGUAUAUUUGUAUAUAUAUAUAUAUAUCUGUGAUUGACUUGUGCAUGUUUUGUUUUUCAUUAUUCACUGUUCUUGUUAUGAUAUUUUUGGUUUCCCAUGGUGAAACUUUUGUUGCCUCUGUUGAUCUCAAAUAUAACUAAAAUAGUUAUCACUGUGCUUCAAGUAGUAAAAUGAAAGUAGAAAAUAAAAAAUGUCUGUGAUAAAAAGUCAUACUGUAUACUACAGAAAAUGGUAGAUGCCCCAUAGGUUUAUAAGAAUUUACAUCCCCAUAGGUUUAUAAGAAUUUACAUCCAAUACUAGCAUAUUGAAAAGGAAUCAAUUUAAAGAAAAAUUAGGAAAUAACUGAUUUAUAUUUUAGCUUGGUCUUCUUAAAACGUAUAAUACUGUAGCAUAUUGAGUUAACCUUGUGAUGCACCCUUAUGAAGGCUAAGCUUAAAAUACAAUACAGUUAUCUCUAUUUUAAUGCCCCAUAUUAAAAUAAAUUCCAUUUAAUAGAUAUUUUGGCUUAAGAAUUACAUAAAUGAAAAAGUCCACAAAACCUUUGCAUCAUCUUUAGCAUCUCAACAAUGUGACAUCAUAUUUAUACUCUGGAUGUCAAUUAUAUUUAAUUGUUGAUGUAUAAACUAUUCAAUGCUAUAACCGUGUACUUAGUAUGACUCUUAUGCUAUGACCGUGUACUUAGUAUGACUCUUAUGCUAUAACCGAUUACUAAGUAUGACUCUUAUGACUUCACAGUUGAAUUUGUUUUUAUAUUCAAUUGAUAAUCAACCUGUUCAAGUUGCUUGCAAAAUCUUGCUUAAAUCUGUGGUAUCAUAUUCCACUUUUAUAUUGUAUGGUCUUACAAAUGUUUGCCUUGCUUGAAAAGUUCUGUAAGGCAACUUUUCAUCUUUUUGAAUUAUGUUGAAUACAUGUGCAUGAGAUUUAUUUUUGCUCAUAUUUAAAGACUUGACAUCUUUUCAUAUAUUUGUCUAUAAUAUAAUAUUUAUCUUCUAUCUGCUUUUAUUUAAAAAGCAAAGAAAAACAAUGUGUUUUUUUUUUGUGAAACUUCAUCUUUUCUAUUCUGUAAUUUAUUCUCUCACUUUAAGUCUGUUACUAUACUUCAGAUGUAUUAGCCCCCUAGCAGCAAAGCUGAAGGAGAUUUUAGAUUUGCACCCUGUCUGUUUGUCAGUCCCGCAAAUCAGUUUUCCGUACUUUUUUAUACAUGUUUGAAGAUAUUGAAUUGAUAUUUGUAAUACAUGUAUAGUUUUACCAUGACAAGUAAGAGAUCAAGUUUGGUUCAGAUGAUUAUGUUGCAGAGUUAUGGUCCUUGGAUUUAAAAAUUGCAUGCAAGAAAUCAGUUUUCUCCACUUUUUAGCUCACCUGGCCUGAAGGGCCAAGUGAGCCUUUCCCAUCACUUGGCAUCCGGCGUCGUUAACUUUUACAAAAACCUUCUCCUCUUAACCAAACUUGGCCACAAUCAUCAUUGGGGUAUCUAGUUAAAAAAAUGUGUGUGGUUACCCGGCCAACCAACCAAGAUGGCCGCCAUGGCUAAAAAUAGAACAUAGGGGUAAAAUGUAGAUUUUGGCUUAUAACUCUGAAACCAAAGCAUUUAGAGCAAAUCUGACAUGGGAUAAAAUUGUAAUCAAGUCAAGAUAUUACAAAACAUUUUCCUCUAUAACUAAUGGGCCAAGUUCAUUAUAGAUAGAGAUAAUUGUAAGUAGCAAGAAUGUUCAGUAAAGUAAGAUCUACAAACACAACACCAUCACCAAAAAACAAUUUUGUCAUGAAUCCAUCUGUGUCCAUUGUUUAAUAUGCACAUAGACCAAGGUGAGCGACACAGGCUCUUAAUAGCCUCUAGUUUCGUAAAGCUUCAAGAUUCUGUUUUUAUUUAAGUUAGCAUUUUGUUCCAGUACAAUGAAUUUUAACGGGUAGUGGACUAUGUAUUGCCUUGCAAUACUUUCAGAAUUCUUGUUUAAAAUAAAAUUUAUGUCUUGCUUAUAUUUUGUAGUUGAUAUAUUUGUUUAUGUAUUAAAACAAACUUUUAUUUACAGCACGUUUUACAAAUCCUACUUCAAUAGAAGUUUGCCAGAUGCUUAGUUUAAUAGAUUUAAAAUAUUGUACUUUAGAUUAACAUUGCAAUAAUGUUUGUUUUAUAUGUUAGCUUUAUGGAUUUGUACUGGAUUGUACUUUUAUUUGAAGUUGAUUACAUCCAUGAACAUUUUGUAAAGAUUUGUGCAUGUUUUGUUUCACUGAUAUAUAUAUAUAGUUUAUUUUUAAGAAGUAGGAAACUUAUAUUAAGGGCUGUAUCAGUUGAACAUGCAUUGUAACCAAUGAAUGCACUUUCAACAAGGGUACCACAUAUCAAGUAAGUUUUAAAUUUGACUUUAUUCACUAUACAAACCAGUUUUUGCCAACAAUCCAUAGUGGAGAUUUCAAAGAGUUUUCCUUUGUCCAAUGUAUGUUUUUACGAUACAGCCCUAAGAGAAUAUAGCAGGAAAACAAAAUAUUUUUUCUUCUUCAUAUUUAUAAAUCUUUAAAGAUAAAGUGUAAAGAUGCUGGAUUUCUUUUACUUUACUUUUGAUCGAUGUCCAACUGAUAGCUUUUAAAACAGCUCUUUAAAAUGACCAAUUUCAAGAAAAAUGGUGUGAAUUUUAUUAAUAUGUCUCAUUUCAUAACUUUUAUAUUUAGAAUUCCAGCCUUAUUAGAAUGUCUCAAAAUCCAUGAAUAUUUACCAAUAUUGUUUAAAAGCAAUGCCAAUUUACACAUAACUCACUGAAGAAGGUGUAUAUCAAAUAAACUUUAUACAUGUAUAAGAAUUUACAGUGCUUAUCCAGUGACCUUUGGGGUAUCACAAUAGCAAUGGCCAAAACAGUUUACCAAAUUGCAGUUAGAUUUCUUCUCCAACUAACUGAUCAACUGGUAAAAUGUUUUAGCAGAUUGCUCAAGUGAAAUGUUGUUAGUAUGAAGUGAGUGCUGUGAAAUCAAAAGUAUUACUUGCCAUCCAGAUCCAGUUAGUUGAUAUCUUUGUCAUUUGUUUGAAACACAAAAAUGACUUACUAUAGUAUGAGUCACUGAAUAAGAAGGUCUAAUUUUGACAUGGAAACUUCUAUCAUAAAUAGAUUUUAUAAAUAAAUAGUUCAAACCAUUGUUUUGUAGAUGUAUAUUGUAUAGCUUUGUCUUCUAAGACAAAGUUAUUGUGUAAUUAUGAUUCGUAUAAUAUUUUCUAUACAAAUUACUGAUCUGCUGGCAUUAAAGGGAAAUAAUUUUUAUUGAGUUAUUGUACACUAAAAAAUUAAUCAAUGAUACCUGGCUUCUGAUUUUGCCUACAAUUUUUUUCAAAAUUUAAUCAUCUUAAAAUAAAAAUUCAUUGUUUCUUUUCAAACAGAGAUAAAAGUUUAAUAAUCAUAAAGUAAUGUUACAAACAAAUUAAAUGAGGAAAGUUGAUAUUUGUCAGACAAAAAUUGUGACAACAUUUUGCUGAUUUUCAGUAAUGUAAAUUAUUUCCCUUUAAUGGUAGCAGAUAAAUAAUUGCUUAGAAAAAAAUCCAAAUUAACAAUUUGCACUAACUUGUUGUUGAAAACGAGCUAUAAUUUAGACUUACAAAACAAUGUUUUCAACAUUUAUUUAUAAAUCUAUUUAUGAUAGAAGUUUCCAUGUUAAAAUUAGACCUUCUUAUUCAGUGACUCAUACUAUAGUAAGUCAUUUUUGUGUUUGAAACAAAUGACAAAGAUAUCAACUAACUGGAUCUGGAUGGUAAGUAUUACUUUUGAUUUUACAGCACUCACUUCAUACUAACAACAUUCACUUGAGCAAUCUGCUAAAAUAUUUACCAGUUUGAUCAGUUAGUUGGAGAAGAAAUCUAACUGCAAUUUGUUAAACUGUUUUGGCCAUUGCUAUUGUGAUACCCCAAAGGUCACUGGAUAAGCACAGUAAAACCUAUUUUAUUUGUCCUUUAUUAUACCCUUUUGUAUACUGCUUUAUGGCUAAUGAUGUUUCUGUCAGUCAACUCAGUUCCCGAAAAUUAUUUCAUAUUUUUCUCAGAAACUACAAAUUCUAAAAUUUAGUCCAGCUUCUGUGAGCAAUGCUUUUCAGUUUGAUGCAUUAUAAGAUUCAUUGCUCAUUAACUUCCUGUUCACCAAAUACUUAUAUAUUAUUUUAGAUAUUGGCCUUGUAUGAAAUUUUCAUCACGUUUUUCUCAGGAAUUACAAAUCAGGGCUUUUUGAAAUUUGGAACCAUACUUGUGAGCAUGCCUAACAGUAACUUAGUGAUGCUUUUUAAAACCCAUCUUACAUCAAAUUUAUGUUUACUUUUAAAAUACUAAUAGCUGGGUUAUCAUUAGCUCACAUUUCAACUUGUUAAUUUUAAAAAUAAUUGUACCAUCAGAUGUCUUGUGAUCAGAUUUUAUUAACAAAAGAAAAUUUAUCUUGUAAAUAUACCAAAAUAUAUGUAUGUAUUUAAAUUACAGAAAAAUAAAUGGUGAAUCAGAUUGUAUGGAGGAGAGAAAGAAAUACACACUAAAAAUUACUGUAUAGUAUAUACUUACAAUUACUUUCAAAGAAGUGCUGUGUUUUACUAAAUAAUAUUACUAUCAUGCUUUUAAUUUUAUUAUUUUUAUCAUAUUUAAAAUACGAAGAAAAAAAAAUGCUUUAUUUCAUUUUGUAUGAAAACGUUCAUUUCUAAUAAAACUAUUAAUGAUG